rnacentral:rRNA from 1 species
AUUGAACGCUGGCGGCAGGCCUAACACAUGCAAGUCGAGCGGACGAAUCGAGCUUGCUCCUGGAUUCAGCGGCGGACGGGUGAGUAAUGCCUAUGAAUCUGCCUGGUCGUGGGGGAUAACGUCCGGAAACGGGCGCUAAUACCGCAUACGUCCUGAGGUAGAAAGUGGGGGAUCUUCGGACCUCACGCUAUCAGAUGAGCCUAGGUCGGAUUAGCUAGUUGGUGGGGUAAAGGCCUACCAAGGCGACGAUCCGUAACUGGUCUGAGAGGAUGAUCCGUCACACGGGAACAGAGACAGGGUAGCGACUUCUACGGGGGGAAGCAGUGGGGAAUCUUAGACAAUGGGGGAGAGCCUGAUCCAGCCAUGCCGGGUGUAUGAAGAAGCUCUUAGGAUUGUAAAGCACUUUAAGUUGGGAGAAAGGGCAGUAAGUUAAUACCUUACUAUUUUGACGUUACCAACAGAAGAAGCCCCGGCUAACUUCGUG